CAGGCUGUCUGCAUAUUAGAAUGGAGUUUGACAGAUGUUAACAGCUGAACAAAAAGCGCAGAUCGUAACUGAUUAUGCACGUAGCGAA
rfam:Neptunomonas antarctica strain DSM 22306 genome assembly, contig: Ga0111702_116